GGGAAACGCAGUUUCAACAGCAGCCGCCACACAUGACUGAGGUCCACAUAGACGCUGUUCUUGUGAUAAGUCUUUCGUUUGUCUUGACAGAGCUGUGGAACAGCAUGCAGAUGAUACUUGUGCUGCUGAUGAUAUUGUCCAGGAAUGCCCUUGGUUUGGAUUUUUUCUGUCAUGCUGAUACGGACUCUACAUGUUCUGGAGAAGCCGGACAGCCUUUGUAUCUGGAACUGCGCAUACAUGCUGAACAACAGGAGCUGAGUUUUCAUGAAGGAACUCUGGAAAGAUUUAAAGUAAAAAAAAAAAAAGGCGAAGUAUUGGACCUCCCCCCAAGAUGGGAGUUUGUUCUUCUUAACUGGACCCUGAUUAUCAACCCUGCAGAGACAAGCGACUCUGGAUCAUACAGAGUUAAAGUCUAUAACGAAAAUGGGGAAAGUCUUAAGGAAAAAAACAUACAUUUGCAAAUCGAAGCCCAUCCAGCAGGCUCAAACCAAUCAGGCAUAAGUGCUCUCCAAGCUGCAUCCAUUGCCCUGGUGGUCAUCCUGGUAUGUCUGGCUUUGUCAGUAGCAAUGUUCUUCAAGUUCAGAAAGCGAAACAUCCAAGACAAAGCAGGGGAUGCAGAAGAAAACUGUCAGGAUGUAGUAUAUGCUGGUGUCAUAGUGGGAAAGAAAAGUAUCAGUAACCACGGCAACACAUCAGGAGCAGAGGUGGAGUACGCUGAGGUGUCUGUGAUGAACAGGUCACCACGACCAAAAAAAAACAGAAGAGAGGAGGAGAAGGUGGAAUACGGGGAGGUGAAAGUUUCUUCUGCUCCAGGGCCGGCUGUUUGCUCCCCUCCGGAGAAGGUGGAAUGCGUCUACUCUGACAUUCAUGUUCACUGAGGAAGCAAUUUUCCCAAAAAUGACACUCAGAAUCCCACAAUACUUUGCACAAUGUGAUGAACACAUUGCACAGCUUUAACUGUUUUUUUUUUCUCCGUUUUUUAUGGUUAAGGGCAUGUGUUGUUUUUGUAGGCUUGAUUCUGUAUUAAAUCUUAAAAUAUUAUUUUGCUCAGUGACAUAAAUUGCAGCGAGCUGCAGACUCGUAUGAAGGACGGCAUAGACCUGCUUCAAACAACCUCAGUUUAAGAACAUUAAAGAUUGUGAGUCUUUGCCAUCCAGAGCGGACGCAGCGGUAAUCAUUCUCGUGUGGUUCUCUGUAGAGUUGAAUGAUUUACCUUCGACUCUGUAUCGGAUUCGCUUGUUUAGAUCGUAAGGGUGCUUGUGUGGGUCGCUAAGGUACUGCAUUAGUUUCGCCAUUGUUGUUGUUGCUGUUGUUGGGGGUCAGUUUCACCUGAGAUACAGACACGCCCACUCUUGCGUUGUUGGAACUGGUUUAGUUAGCAUUGCUUUAGGAGACUGGUUAAAAGCGUCCCCCUGCUCCAGUGACUCUCAAGACAGAAACAUUUGAAAACUAAAAAGCAUUUCAAAAGAGUCUAACAUACACACACACACGCGCACACACACAUACACACACACACACACACACACACAAAACAAUUCCCUAGCAUGUUCUUUUUCUUGGCAAGUUAGGCCUGUACCAGGGCUCUAUGUUUUGUAACUCACAAUUCAUGGAAACCGAAAGGGAAUUGCUGGUGUCUUCCUCGUGUAAGUCGCUUUAAAUAAAAGCGUCUGCUAAGUAAAGUAAAAAAGUAAA
ensembl:lncRNA uncharacterized LOC114768194